rnacentral:rRNA from 1 species
AUACGUAUGUCGCAAGCGUUAUCCGGAUUUAUUGGGCGUAAAGCGCGUCUAGGCGGCUUAGUAAGUCUGAUGUGAAAAUGCGGGGCUCAACCCCGUAUUGCGUUGGAAACUGCUAAACUAGAGUACUGGAGCGGUAGGCGGAACUCCAAGCGUAGAGGUGAAAUUCGUAGAUAUUUGUAGGAAUGCCGAUGGGGAAGCCAGCCUACUGGACAGAUACUGACGCUAAAGCGCGAAAGCGUGGGUAGCAAACAGGAUUAGAUACCCUGGUAGUCCACGCCGUAAACGAUGAUUACUAGGUGUUGGGGGUCGAACCUCAGCGCCCAAGCUAACGCGAUAAGUAAUCCGCCUGGGGAGUACGUACGCAAGUAUGAAACUCAAAUGAAUUGACGGGG